rnacentral:rRNA from 1 species
CCUACGGGAGGCAGCAGUGGGGGAUAUUGCACAAUGGGGGGAACCCUGAUGCAGCGACGCCGCGUGGGUGAAGGAGUGCUUCGGCAUGUAAAGCCCUAUCGGCAGGGAAGAAGCAAGACGGUACCUGACUAAGAAGCCCCGGCUAACUACGUGCCAGCAGCCGCGGUAAUACGUAGGGGGCGAGCGUUAUCCGGAUUCACUGGGUGUAAAGGGAGUGUAGACGGCCAUGCAAGCCAGGGGUGAAAGCCCGGGGCCCAACCCCGGGACUGCCCUUGGAACUGUGCGGCUAGAGUGCGGGAGGGGCAGGCGGAAUUCAUGGUGUAGCGGUGAAAUGCGUAGAUAUCAGGAGGAACACCGGCGGCGAAGGCGGCCUGCUGGACUGCGACUGACGUUGAGGCUCGAAAGCGUGGGGAGCGAACAGGAUUAGAUACCCGAGUAGUC